rnacentral:rRNA from 1 species
UAGGGAAUCUUCGGCAAUGGACGAAAGUCUGACCGAGCAACGCCGCGUGAGUGAAGAAGGUUUUCGGAUCGUAAAACUCUGUUGUUAGAGAAGAACAAGGACGUUAGUAACUGAACGUCCCCUGACGGUAUCUAACCAGAAAGCCACGGCUAACUACGUGCCAGCAGCCGCGGUAAUACGUAGGUGGCAAGCGUUGUCCGGAUUUAUUGGGCGUAAAGCGAGCGCAGGCGGUUUCUUAAGUCUGAUGUGAAAGCCCCCGGCUCAACCGGGGAGGGUCAUUGGAAACUGGGAGACUUGAGUGCAGAAGAGGAGAGUGGAAUUCGAUGUGUAGCGGUGAAAUGCGUAGAUAUAUGGAGGAACACCAGUGGCGAAGGCGGCUCUCUGGUCUGUAGCUGACGCUGAGGCUCGAAAGCGUGGGGAGCAAACAGG